GAUCCUGGCUCAGGAUGAACGCUAGCUGCAGGCUUAACACAUGCAAGUCGAGGGACAGCAUGAACUUAGCUUGCUAAGUUUGAUGGCGACCGGCGCACAGGUGAGUAACACGUAUCCAACCUUCCGUUUACUCAGGGAUAGCCUUUCGAAAGAAAGAUUAAUACCUGAUAGUAUGGUGAGAUUGCAUGAUAACACCAUUAAAGAUUUAUUUGUAAACGAUGGGGAUGCGUUCCA
rnacentral:rRNA from 1 species